UGGGGAAUAUUGCACAAUGGAGGGAACUCUGAUGCAGCAACGCCGCGUGCGGGAUGACGGCCUUCGGGUUGUAAACCGCUUUCAGCCAUGACGAAGCUUUUGUGACGGUAGUGGUAGAAGAAGCACCGGCUAACUACGUGCCAGCAGCCGCGGUGAUACGUAGGGUGCGAGCGUUGUCCGGAAUUAUUGGGCGUAAAGAGCUUGUAGGCGGUUUGUCGCGUCGAUAGUGUAAGCACGCAGCUUAACUGUGUGCCUGCUGUCGAUACGGGCUGACUAGAGGAGGGUAGGGGAGAAUGGAAUUCCCGGUGGAGCGGUGGAAUGCGCAGAUAUCGGGAGGAACACCAGUGGCGAAGGCGGUUCUCUGGACCUUUCCUGACGCUGAGAAGCGAAAGCGUGGGUAGCAAACAGG
rnacentral:rRNA from 1 species